rnacentral:rRNA from 1 species
AUGGCCGGCCGCCGCCGCAGCCGCUCGCGAAUCCAAGGCGACGGGGCGACCCGUCCUCGUCGCCUCCGCUCCCGAGUCGUCGGCAGCGAGGACGGCGACGGGGCGACCCGUCCCAGCCGCCGCCGCUCCCGAGUCGUCGGCAGCGAGGACGGCGACGGGGCGACCCGUCCCAGCCGCCGCCGCCGCGCCAGCUCGCCGGAGGUGCCAGACGAAGCUGACGCUGAUACCCUGUGGGAGUCGCUGCCGUUGGAUAUGAUUUGGGAGAUCCUGCUCCUGCUUCCACCGGAGCGGCCCUCCCUCGUGCUGCCACCGAAGCGGCGCUCCUUCCUGCGCGCAUCCGGCGUCUCCACGCUCUGGCGAGGCGUCGCCACCGACCCAAACUUUAUGAGCCAGCACCGCAGGAAGUGGAAGCCUCCACUCCUCGGCGUUUUCGAGCGCCGCCAGCAGAAGUUCCACUUCACCCCCGUCUUGCAUCCUCCCGACCGUAUCCCUGCCGACCGCAUUCACAUCUCAGGCUGGAUGACCUCCCGCGACUGCGACGCGACCGACUGCCGCCACGGUCGGGUGUUGGCACAGGCGGAGGACCACGUGCACGGCUUUUGCCACGAGAGCCCAUUCAAGGUCGCAUUGUUGUCCAGGUGCGAUAAUCGAUAUAUCACCUCUGUUUACUCAUCAGAAAGCCGCACAUGGGCAGACCUUAUAACAAUCGAAGCUCCAUUUAAAGUUGCUCUUGUUGAUGUUCCUGCGACCCUGGUUGGAAAUGUGCUCUACUGGAUGCUUUCAUCAAAUGAUGUUUGUGCUGCCAUGCUUGAGUUUGAUUUGGAUAGGCAGAGCCUAGCUGUGAUCAAGGGACCUUCUGAUAUGAAUUAUUCCGGCAGCCAUAGGAUCAUCAAAACAGAGCAAGGCACAGUUGGCUGGGUCAGGUUUUCAUUUCCGAUCCUAGAAAUAUGGCUGAGGAAGAAAAAAUGUCACGGUCUUGCCACGUGGUUGCAGCAUAAGACAGUUGAUAUGCAUGACAUUCUUGGGAUCCCUCGGGUUAGUAAGAAGCGGUGGCCAAAAAUCCUUGGGUAUGACGAGGACAACAAUGUGAUCAUUCUGUAUGUUGAGGACAGUGCCUACAUGCUUGAUCUUAAGUCGAUGGAAUCCACAAAACUUGAUGAAAGCCGUUUGAUGAAAUACUGCCACCCAUUCACCAGUUUCUAUCCGCCAGACAUGGCCAUCUAA